AAGGAAAAAACUGCUGAUUACCAAUACUAUGCACAAACAAACCUGUAACUGCAGUUUCGUUAUUUAUGAAUUAACCUUAAGUAGUGAAUUAAUUCUUAGGAUUUCUUGUGCGAGUAGUGUUCCUAAAAAAGAAAGAAAGAAAGAAAGAAGGUAAGAAAGACAGGUAGUUUAGGUAAGGGACAACCUGAAACUAUUUGGUUGAAUUGAUAGUAAAAGUGGUUGUCCUAAUUUCUAAUUGGAGAGAUCACACCGCAACAUGAGUUUAGAACGGCAGUUAUGGGAAGUUUUGUUGGAUUAAUUUGAUUACACGCUUUAGGUCUUAUUUUUUCUUUCCACUGAUUUAGCGUUAGGUUAAGUGUUUUCACGCUUUCGCUUCAGUCUGACAUUUGCUUGGUGUGUGGGGGCACAGAGACGUGUAUGGACCGUGUGUUUGACUGUGUUUGUCUUGUUUGAUUGUUUAUUUAUCUAUAUGGGCAUGGCCGAGCCUUGAGAAACAUCAACAAAGCCAUUGGGCUAUUCUGAGUAAAUUGACCAAUUCAACUUCAGGAUCCUGAAACAAUUUGGCUAUAACCUCUAAUUGAUGAAGGACAUCUUAAGAAUUCAUUGUACAAGGCUUCCUCUCCAGUGUUGCUGGAACUGUUAUAAAACCCAUGCAUGGUUGUAUAUUUUAGUUUGAUCAUUUAUACUCAUUGAAUUAUUGUUGUUUGCUUUAUGUUUUAAUUUCUUUGUAAUUUUUCUCUGUGACACAGGUGGAGAUGCUGGUGGCGAAGUGGAUCCCACUCAUUUCUUUCUCCCACACACAUUCUUACUCUCUCCCUCUCUCUGUGUGUGUAUGUGCAUGUGUAUGUGUUUGUGUGUCUGUGUGUGUCCAUGUCGUGAUGUCACUGUACCUUUAAUUGCGCUUGCUGUUCGUAACUGUAUGUGUCUGAUGUUGAAGGUAUCAGAGGCUAGGGUCAGUAAGAGCUAGGACAUUUUUGUGCAUAACCUUUAAUCCCUAGGCGAUCGGUUCGGGGAACUUCUGGUCCGGCCGGAGUGUGAAUCUUCCUACCAACUAUCUGCCAAGAUCAAUUGGACUGCACAAGCCGAGAAAGCCUUCAUUAGACCAAAACUACACACACGAGGAGGCUUCGCCUUCGGUGCCAGGCGUCUGGGUCCUGCUAAAAGUCACCAAAAGGAAGUGGACGGAACCAAGGUGGACCGGGCCAUACAGGAUCACGGAGAGGACAUCACACGCUGUCCGGCAGGACGGGAGGAUCCUAACCUGGAAGAGAAGCAGCCGACAUCUACCUGACCAGGAGAAGUACCCAAGGACCAGGACGAGAAGCAGCUGACAUCUGACCAACCAGAGAAAGGAUCCAAAAACCAGGAAGAGAAGUAGCUGACUGCAGUAGCAUGCCAAGCUGCCACCACAUCCUGCAGGACGAGAAUCGUGACAUCAUCACCCCCUGCAGCUGCCUGGAGCCAGUGAAGGGACCUCAACAGGGGGAAGAAGUAACCACCCUAUGAACAUUCUACAAGGGUUCUAUUUAACACCCUCAUUUAUUUUACAAGGGUAAUAUUUUACACCCUCCACCUGCUGAC